rnacentral:rRNA from 1 species
GAUGAACGCUGGCGGCGUGCCUAAUACAUGCAAGUCGAGCGAACAGACGAGGAGCUUGCUCCUCUGACGUUAGCGGCGGACGGGUGAGUAACACGUGGAUAACCUACCUAUAAGACUGGGAUAACUUCGGGAAACCGGAGCUAAUACCGGAUAAUAUAUUGAACCGCAUGGUUCAAUAGUGAAAGACGGUUUUGCUGUCACUUAUAGAUGGAUCCGCGCCGCAUUAGCUGGUUGGUAAGGUAACGGCUUACCAAGGCAACGAUGCGUAGCCGACCUGAGAGGGUGAUCGGCCACACUGGAACUGAGAAACGGUCCAGACUCCUACGGGAGGCAGCAGUAGGGAAUCUUCCGCAAUGGGCGAAAGCCUGACGGAGCAACGCCGCGUGAGUGAUGAAGGUCUUCGGAUCGUAAAACUCUGUUAUUAGGGAAGAACAAAUGUGUAAGUAACUAUGCACGUCUUGACGGUACCUAAUCAGAAAGCCACGGCUAACUACGUG